rnacentral:rRNA from 1 species
UUUGCCUGGUGUCCAUAGAGCACUGGAACCACCUGAUCCCAUCCCGAACUCAGAAGUGAAACGGUGCAUCGCCGAUGGUAGUGUGGGGCCUCCCCAUGUGAGAGUAGGUCAACGCCAGGCGC